rnacentral:rRNA from 1 species
AGCGAACGCUGGCGGUAGGCCUAACACAUGCAAGUCGAACGGCAUCAUAGUAAGAGCUUGCUCUUACGGGUGGCGAGUGGCGGACGGGUGAGGAAUACACCGGAAUCUACUUUUUCGUGGGGGAUAAUGCAGGGAAACUUACGCUAAUACCGCAUACGACCUACUGGUGAAAGCAGGGGAUCUUCGGACCUUUUGCGAUUGAAUGAGCCGAUGUCGGAUUAGCUAGUUGGCGGGGCAAAGGCCCACCAAGGCGACGAUCCGUAGCUGGACUGAGAGGAAGAACAGCUACACUGGAACUGAGACGCAGCCCCGACUCUUACGAGAGGACACAGUCGAGAAUCUUAGGCAAUGGGCGCGUGCCUGAUCCAGCCCUACCGCGUAAGUGAAGAAGGCGUUCGGGUUGUAAAGCCCUUUUGUUGGGAAAGAAAAACAGUAGGUUAAUCCCGCGCUAUUAUGACGGUACCCAAAGAAUAAGCACCGGCUAACUUCGUG